GAUGAACGCUGGCGGCGUGCCUAAUACAUGCAAGUCGAGCGAACAGAUGAGGAGCUUGCUCCUCUGACGUUAGCGGCGGACGGGUGAGUAACACGUGGAUAACCUACCUAUAAGACUGGGAUAACUUCGGGAAACCGGAGCUAAUACCGGAUAAUAUAUUGAACCGCAUGGUUCAAUAGUGAAAGACGGUUUUGCUGUCACUUAUAGAUGGAUCCGCGCCGCAUUAGCUAGUUGGUAAGGUAACGGCUUACCAAGGCGACGAUGCGUAGCCGACCUGAGAGGAUGAUCGGCCACACUGGAACUGAGACACGGUCCAGACUCCUACGGGAGGCAGCAGUAGGGAAUCUUCCGCAAUGGGCGAAAGCCUGACGGAGCAACGCCGCGUGAGUGAUGAAGGUCUUCGGAUCGUAAAACUCUGUUAUUAGGGAAGAACAAAUGUGUAAGUAACUAUGCACGUCUUGACGGUACCUAAUCAGAAAGCCACGGCUAACUACGUG
rnacentral:rRNA from 1 species